rnacentral:lncRNA from 1 species
CCAUUUAGCAAGAAAAGGGAAAGAAUAUAAAUACAUGUAACAAAUAAACACAUUUCAAAAUAAUUAUCCCAAAUGAAAGAAGCCAAACAGAUGCCUAUGGUAUCAUUCCAUUAUAGAAAUUUGUUGAAAAUGCAAACUAAUCUGCAACAGCAGAAAAGAGAUUAGUGGUUGACUGAAUGGGGGGAAAGUAUGAGGAAGGAGGGCUGGAUGAUGAAGAGGCAUAAAUUAAUUUUCUUGGGGGUGAUGGGUAUGUUCAUUUUUCUUAUUGUGAUGGUUUGAAAGGUUACACUUAGGUCAAAACUCAUCAAAUUGUACAUUUUCAAACAAGUUCCAUUUAUCAUAUGUGAAUUAUACUACAAUAAACUUGUAAAAUAUAUUUUGAGGACAAUGGGAGAAAUUUGAAAGUGGACUGGAUAUGAGAAUUAGAUUGAUAAUGACAUUUCAAUUAUGUGGGAAAAUAGCCUUAUUUUUAGGAGAUGAAUACUCAAUUAUUUGAGGGUGUAAUGUUAUAAUGUUUAUAACUAUUUCAGGAAAAAAUUAAAUAUACAAUGUUAAAUCAAGACAAAAGUGAAACAUAUAUGUAUUUUACUGUUCUUGCAACACUUCUUUUUUGAAACAGGGUCUUGCUAUGUAGUUCAGGCUGGUCUUGAACUCAUUAUGCAGCCCAGGCUGGCCUCAAACUUGGAGUGAUCCUCCUGCCUCAGCCUACUGAGCCCUGGAAUUAUAGGUGUGCACCACCAUGCCCAGUUUAAUACUUUUACCUGAUUUAAAUUGUACUAAUUAUCAUACAUCAAGUACCUAUGAAAAAUGUGAUCCACAUACUAUAAACAUGUAUAAAAAUAAUAAUUAUAUAUAUGAAAGGGUCCAAGGGAGGCAGGGAGGUGGGGGGAGGGAAAGGGAAGAAGUUAAAAAAAGAAAUAAGAGGGCCACGGAUUUAGCUCAGUGGUUUCGUCGCCUGCUGCGCAAGCGCAAGGACCCAAGUUCGAUCCCCGGUACCAAAAAAAAAAAAAAGAAAUAAGUAAUGUCAUGUACAUGUACCAACUCCUCACAAUGAAACUAACCAUUAAAAAAAACCCAGUAACCAUUGUAUACUAUAAACAUAUACCAGUAAAAAAAGAAAAUGUACUCAUUAAAAUAUGGAGGGAAACACUGUUUUAUUUCCCAUCCUCCUCUUCAGAUAGGCACAUUAUCUUAUUACCCUAGAAUGUAACCAAAUCUGCUCUGCAAAUGUUUCCAGAGAGGGAGACAUUCUCUAUCUUCACUAUCCUGAAAUAAAAAUAAAUCUGAGAAAAUCAGUUGUUAAUGAAUAAACAUGAGAGUUUCAUGGAAAUUGACUCUCAACAGGAGGCUAGAUUUCAUCACACAAAAUAAAAAUGAUAUGAAAUGAAUGUAGAAUGCUACAAAAUAAAUAUAGAAG